rnacentral:tRNA from 1 species
GUCGCGAUGGCCGAGUGGUUAAGGCGAUGGACUUGAAAUCCAUUGGGGAUUCCCCGCGUAGG